AUUGAACGCUGGCGGCAGGCCUAAUACAUGCAAGUCGAGCGGAGCGGCGGACGGGUGAGUAAUGCAUAGGUAUCUGCCUGGUCGUGGGGGAUAACGUCCGGAAACGGGCGCUAAUCUCGCAUACUUUCUGAUGAGCCUAGGGCGGAUUAGCUAGUUGGUGUGGUAAAGGCCUACCAAGGCGACGAUCCGUAACUGGGCUGAGUGGAUGAUCAGUCACACUGGAACUGAGACACGGUCCAGACUCCUACGGGAGGCAGCAGUGGGGAAUAUUGGGCAAUGGGCGAAAGCCUGAUCCAGCAAUGCCGCGUGUGUGAAGAAGGUCUUCGGAUUGUAAAGCACUUUAAGUAGGGAAGCGGUACCAACAGAGUAAGCACCGGCUAACUACGUGCCAGCAGCCGCGGUAAUUC
rnacentral:rRNA from 1 species